UCCAGAGCCCUCCAUACCCUGCAAAUGAAGAAGUACGUUCUCAAAUCCCUUGGAGCAGGGCCCCACUUUGGCGGCACAAACUUUAAUUUCUAGACGGAAUGGCAUCUCUACAGAAAGAAAAGCCAUGGUAUCUGCAUGAUAAGUCUGAAAAGGACCUGGGCAAAUCUGCAGCUGACAUUUCCAGCCAUUGCUGCCACUUCGAGAAAACCCUGCUGAUGUCAGCAUUGUCAGCAUCAUCUCCUCCAGGAACACCGGCCAUCGAGCCACAAGGACAAUUGUUGCCGCUGGAGUCAAUUCAUCUGCCAGCCACAUCAUACUCUGGGACCGUCACUAACCAGAUCCAAGCAGCCUUGAGGAAGCAUGUCUUCUGGUGGUGACUGAUCCCAAGGGCUGACAACAAGGUCCUCACAGAGGCAUCUUAUGUCAACCUAUCUACCAUGCACGGUAUAAGACACAUUCUCCUCUGCGCUGUGUGGACACUGCCAUCACACGCAACAGAAAGGAAACUCACUCACUGUGUCUGAUGUGGUGGUGCUUGUUAGGGGAGUUCUGGGCAUGUAUGGCACCAUCGCCCAUGAGGACUCCUGUGGGGUCAUGCCCACUCUACUCCUCUAGAGACCAUGAAGAGAUGGAGAGGGGAGAGCAAGCACAGAUGACAGGCUAGAACUAAAGAGGAGUGUCAGGUGAGCGGACCUGAACUCACGGCUGCUCAGCCUGAAGUGGUGUGGCCAUCUGCAUCUGGUCUGAAGGUGCGUGGAUACCCUCUGUGCCCGUCCAGAAGUUUCCUACUGAAGACAGAAAUGCCUGUCCAGUCAUGGAAGAAUGAUUGGCAGUUCCCACUUCUCAGACCACUGAAUGGGUCAGAACAACUACU
rnacentral:lncRNA from 1 species